rnacentral:rRNA from 1 species
GACGAACGCUGGCGGCGCGCCUAACACAUGCAAGUCGAACGGAGCUGAGUGAAGCUUGCUUUUCUUAGCUUAGUGGCGUACGGGUGAGUAACGCGUGAGUAACCUGCCCUGGGGUGGGGGGCCACAGAUGGAAACGACUGCUAAUAACGCAUCAGCCCACGAUCCGGCAUCGGCUUGAGGGAAAAGGAUUUAUUCGCUUAAGGCUGGACUCGCGUCGAAUUCGCUAGUUGGUGUGGUAACGGCCCACCAAGGCGACGAUUGGUAGCCGGGCUGAGAGGGUGACCGGCCACAUUGGGACUGAGACACGGCCCAGACUCCGACGGGAGGCAGCAGUGGGGGAUAUUGCACAAUGGGGGAAAGCCUGAUGCAGCGACGCCGCGUGGGGGAAGAAGGUUUUCGGAUUGUAAAGUCCUGUCGUUAGGGACGAUAAUGACGGUACCUGACAAGAAAGCACCGGCUAACUACGUG